rnacentral:rRNA from 1 species
CGUGUAGGUGGUCCGUUAAGUCGCUGGUGAAAGCCCUGGCUCAACUGGGGGAGGUCUAGCGAAACUGGCGGACCUGAGGGUCCGAGAGGAAGGUGGAAUUCCCGGUGUAGCGGUGGAAUGCGUAGAGAUCGGGAGGAACACCAGUGGCGAAGGCGGCCUUCUGGCGGGCAUCUGACACUGAAACGCGAAAGCGUGGGUAGCAAACGGGAUUAGAGUACCCCGGUAGUCCACGCCCUAAACGAUGCAGGCUAGGUGUUGGUGGGAUUUCCCAUCCGUGCCGUAGCGAACGCGUUAAGCCUGCCGCCUGGGGACUACGAGCGCAAGCUUAAA